UACAAAACAACAUAGGAUAAAGGAAACCAGCAAUCUCUCGUUAAAGGAUCCCAGGAUGUUAACUUUAAUUUCAAAUCAUUAGUCACAUGUCUGGAUGAGCUGGACUAUGCUUUCAUUUGUAACAUUUUGUCAACUGAGGAAGUACUUCCACUCUGUGAAGUACUUAAAAUGAAGACUCCAUACGAAAGAGUGACAGUGAAGGCAAAGGUGAUUCAACUGCAAAGCCAUGGACACAAUGUUGUUCACGACAGCACAUUUCUCCAGAACACAUACUACACAAUUGCAGAUGAAAAAGCAGCAAUCGAUUUGACCGUAUGGGGUGACAGCAAAGUUACAACUGACUGCUGGUACGAGAUCUCAAAUGUUUCCAUACGCACCUUCAAAGAUAAACUGCUUUUAACUACAACCAAAGACACAAACUUCACUAUACUGAGCUGCCGAAAUCCCAUUCAUCCUGUGGAGAACACCACCACCCAAACUGUCACAGCAGACAUAAUUGGAGCAACAGUACACCUAACAACUCCACUACAGACCACAUUAUAGACGCUAUACUUGCACUGCCCCCUGUCAACAUAUCCAUAUACAAAAACAACAUAACAAACAUAUCACUCCAACAAGACACCCAUUCCAUACAGACACCGAAAAUCACAAUCACACGACCUAUGGACUCGUCUCAAAGCCUCUAUGCAACCGAUCUAGAGAACCGAAUGGCUGACGACUUCCUCACUUCCACCCCAUCUACAUCAACAGCAACCACUUCAGCUUCAUCAGCCAUCAUACCACCCACAGAAUUACCAACAGUAUUAAGAACUAAAACCAGAACCAGUUCCAACCAGGAAAAAUCACCCCAAUGAAGGAGAUUAGCCCACUUAACUACUCAAACGUCUGCUGUGAGCUUCUGGGAGGUGGUGUGCUUCGCUCCUGCUAUUUUUUCUUUUUAUUAGUAACUUUUCUGUUGCAUUUACUAUGACAUCGGUCAAAUCUACUUUAAUUUCUCAAUUGUUGUGUAACAAUAAAUGUAAUAGCAAACACCACUAAUCAUUUAGAAUAAAA
ensembl:lncRNA